rnacentral:lncRNA from 1 species
AGCAACAAGCUCUGGUGCCCAACCACAGAGAACAUGGAUAAGGAUGGAAAGUGGAGUUUCUGUGCCGACACCAGAAUUUCCGCGUUGGUCCCUGGCUUUCCUUGUCACUUUCCGUUCAACUAUAAAAACAAGAAUUAUUUUAACUGCACUAACGAAGGAUCAAAGGAGAACCUUGUGUGGUGUGCAACUUCUUACAACUACGACCAAGACCACACCUGGGUGUAUUGCUGAUGCUGAGAUCUUUGCUUCUAUUUUCAAGGAAAGGAGAAAUAUCUUCAGAGGAAGACUGCCGCCAUACUGAGGCUGAGCACAGAUUUGUCUUUUUCAUUGCAUCUGUCAAGCUUAAAUAACCACCUUUAGAAAUACCCUCUGCACCACCUGCUUCAAUCAGCUGGUCCUUUGUGAAGAACGUAGAGAGAAUGCGGCAUAACCACCAAUAAAGGAGUCUUGAUUUAA